rnacentral:rRNA from 1 species
UACGUAGGGGGCGAGCGUUACCCGGAUUCACUGGGCGUAAAGGGGGCGUAGGUGGCCGUGUAAGUCCGGUGUGAAAAGCCACGGCUCAACCGUGGGACUGCGCUGGAAACUACACGGCUUGAGGACGGUAGAGGGAGACGGAACUGCUGGUGUAGGGGUGAAAUCCGUAGAUAUCAGCAGGAACGCCGGUGGGGAAGCCGGUCUCCUGGGCCGUUCCUGACGCUGAGGCCCGAAAGCUAGGGGAGCAAACCGG